AGUGAACGCUGGCGGUAGGCCUAACACAUGCAAGUCGAACGGCAGCACAGGAGAGCUUGCUCUCUGGGUGGCGAGUGGCGGACGGGUGAGGAAUACAUCGGAAUCUACUUUUUCGUGGGGGAUAACGUAGGGAAACUUACGCUAAUACCGCAUACGACCUACGGGUGAAAGCAGGGGAUCUUCGGACCUUGCGCGAUUGAAUGAGCCGAUGUCGGAUUAGCUAGUUGGCGGGGUAAAGGCCCACCAAGGCGACGAUCCGUAGCUGGUCUGAGAGGAUGAUCAGCCACACUGGAACUGAGACACGGUCCAGACUCCUACGGGAGUCAGCAGUGGGGAAUACUGGACAAUGGGCGCAAGCCUGAUCCAGCCAUACCGCGUGGGUGAAGAAGGCCUUCGGGUUGUAAAGCCCUUUUGUUGGGAAAGAAAUCCAGCUGGUUAAUACCCGGUUGGGAUGACGGUACCCAAAGAAUAAGCACCGGCUAACUUCGUGCCAGCAGCCGCGGUAA
rnacentral:rRNA from 1 species